rnacentral:sRNA from 1 species
UAAAAGUGUCGUCAAUAGACUGACAGCUAAGGGAUUUAUCCCUUAUGCUGACUGGAUAUUAGACGACCUAACCUGUAUGGGCAAGUAAGGCAUUUGCCUGGAUUGCGAAUACAGGCAGCGAUGUCGAGAGUGCAUAGCACGGAGACAUCGACUUUUA